UCUUUUGUGCUGUGAAUCACCCCACGUUCGCCUGGCCAGGGUUUCUAACCCAGGUUCGCAAGGCCCAUGUGGACACGUCUGCAGCCACACAUGCUUUCACGGGGCACAUGGGAACGUACACGCGAAGGGUAAUGCGUGCACACCUGUGCAGCCAGGUGUGCAUGAGCGUUUCUGCACAGGCCAGGUGAUGAGGGGAGGGCAGAGCUCUCAGCAGAAGGGUCUCAGCGGCGCCUCCUCCCUGGGAAGGAUAGAAGCCUCUCUGAAGGGGAAGGGACUCGCCCCAAGUAACCUCAACCCUUCCUCCUGCCCCUUCCUCCCGCCCCACUCACUUUUGGUCAAAACCAGCCUCCACAGCCCACCGCAAAGCCAGAGAGGAGAGUUCAAGGUAAAGACCCAAUUGAAACAAGAGAAAAGGGGAAAACCAGCCAACCAGGCUGGGGUGGCCACUCAAGGGAGAGGGUUUGGGCCUUCCAAUGCUCCUUUAACUCCCAGAACCAGCUGCUGCGUCACUAGAGGAGAAUGAUAAUGGUGGUGUCCCGGGCAGGUGAUCCUGUCCCCAUCCUGCCCUGGGGGUGGUACCCCAACUCCCAGAGCAACUCUCUCCAUCCCCAGCCUGAGGCCUCGUGGUAAACGUCCCUCAGAGAAAGGGCAGGUGGUGGGAGAGUAGUGGGAUCUUCUCCCCUUUUGCUGCUCGGUAUUUUUUUAAAUAAAAUAAUUACCCCGCCCCCAACCCAUCCCUAUCUCUGGAAGUCCCACCCCAAGCCCAAAAGAAAACAGUUUAAGAAGAGUAAAAACGGUGAUUCAGAACUUCCCACUGCGGUCUCGGAAGAAGCCCUCAGCUGCCUGGGCCUCGCGGAAGGUGACGGUGAUGGAGUUGGCGGUGAUGUCGGUCACGGUCACCUCACUUGAGGGGAGCGCAGGUGUCCAGGGAGGGGGCCCCUCGGCCAGGUCGGCAUCUGCUGCAGCGUCAGACACACAGAUGGGGGCAGCGUUGACAAGGUGGGAAGCCAUGCAGACCACCCAACCCGACCCCAACUCCAGCUCCUCCUCUCUGUGUCUUCAGUCAGCUCAGGGCCUCACACAGGGCUGGACACUUGGGAGGAGGGCACUGGGUGCAUCCUCCCCACCUAGACAAGAGCUCAGCCAGAGCGGGACGACAGGAGGAGCCCUGGGCUAGUGUUGGGCCCUGAGCCCAGACCCGACUGGCCCCACAAAGCACUACAGGCCCUCUUUGGACAUUGAACCAGCUGGACCUUAUGACCCAUAGGGCCCUUUCCAGCUCUGAGGGUCUCUGGGCUGGGGCCGCCUUACCCUCCUCUUCAGGGGGCUGCGCAGCAGGCUCCCACUCGCCAGCCGCCUGCAGGACGUCUGGGGCCGGUGGCUCCUGCAGGAAGAGCUCCCGUCGAUGGCUGUGGCUCUCCAGGUUGGGCCCGCGGGGCGGGAACUUCUUGCGCGAGAGCCGCAGGUACUUGUGGGCCUUUCGGGGCUUGCGGAGCGGGAAGGGCAGGGUGGGCACCAAGGGGCCCUUGUCCACCAGCUCAGGUGCCCCCGCCUUGACCACCCCCUCAGGGCUCCCGCUGCCGAGUGGGCACGUCAGGGAGAAGCAGAGCUUCUCCUUGCCCUUGGCCUUGUGGGAGCUCCGCAGGUCCAUGCUGUACAGCCGCUGCGGGGGCAAGCCAGGGCAGCGCGGGUCAGCCCCACCCUCCCACCCGCCACACCUUUGCUCAUGCUGUUCCUCCCACCCGGAAUGCCCUUCCCAUGCCAUGUCUACCCACUCAACUCCUUCCCAUGCCACGGCUGGCCAUCACCCCACCCCACCCCAGCCCAGAGAGUGCGCCCCGGGCAACCCCAGGGUCGGCCAGCUCAGCCCUGCCUCUGGGCCCCACAGAGCACUCGCGUCCCAGCGUUUACUCCUUUGAUACCCAGCAGAGAAGCAUACAAGAAGGACAAACUGAAAACUGGCCAAGAGAAACAAAUCUGGAUGCAUUAAGGAGUUAGCCUUCGUUUUAGGAAAGGCAUCUUUGCUUGCCAGAGCACCUCCAAAACUGACACUGCCAGCUCACCCGGGAGAUGGUGCAGGCAGAGGGCCAAGGUGUGCUCUUGGAGUUGCUUGGGGCAAAGCCAGGCCAGCAGCACACACAGCCCCGGAUGCCCAUGCUAUCCAGCCAAAGGGACAGGGCUCCACCUGGCCUGCAGAUGCACCCCGACCCCUCCAGGGGGCUCCUGGGCUCUGUGAUUGCAGCCCGCUCUGCUGAUUGCCCGCGACACAUCUGGAGCUGGAGGGCAAGUCUGUCCACCCCUGGAGUUUGUAAUGUCGGGAUUUAUCUUAUUUACUUGGGGAGAAUUUACAUGAAUCUACAAAAGAUUCAUGGUGCCAAGAUGUUGGGAGACUCUGGAUCACUGGGACAGUACCUUCUCCUGCCACCUGCUACCAGAGGUCAGGAGCUCCCAGGAAGAUAGUGCAGCCAUCAGAUGGGACCUGUGAGGUCAAACACCUCCAAGCUGAGGGAAGGGAUGACACACGCAGGUCCCACUCACAGUCGUGCCUGUUAACGGCAUCACAUGUCCCCAGGUGCCGGCUGCUGCAGUGAUGGGAGGAGGGCUAAACUGGGAGGGGACUGGGAAAAUACUGCAGUGCCUGGGAGGCACAUCUGGUAGGCAGCUGACUCAAAACCCACUCCUCCCAGCGGGCUCACAGGCCAUCAGAAGCCUAGUAUGGGCCAGGCACAGUGGCUCACGCCUGUAAUCCCAACACUUUAGGAGGCCGAGGCAGCUGGAUCACCAGAGGUCAGGAGUUCAAGGCCAGCCUGGCCAACAUGGCGAAACCCCAUCUCUACUAAAAAUACAAAAAUUAGCCGGGUGUGGUGGCAGGUGCCUGUAAUCCCAGCUACUUGGGAGGCUAAGGCAGGACAAUCAUUUGAACCCAGAAGGCAGAGCUUGCAGUGAGCAGAGAUCGCACCACUGUAUUCCAGCCUGGGCGACAGAGCGAGACUCUGUCUGGGAAAAAAAAAAAAAAAAAAAAAGAAGCCCAGUACAUUCUACCAUUCUGCAAGGCAGGGUCUUCUACGUCCUUGGCAACCUCAUCACGAGAGAACUACAGCUACUAAAGGGACGCGGGUGCCAACAGUCAGGUCCUGGGUAAGCUACCGGCCUCCCUGGGCCUCAGUUUCUUUCUCAGCGAAACAAUGAAGAGACUGUAGGAGCCAGCCUCCGAGGAGGGCCCCAACCACACCCACCUCCUGGAAUUCACACCUAUGCGCCGUCCAUUCCCACACCCAGUGCUGUGUUGUGUGACUUCCCAGGCUAGGGCAUAAAAGACACUGUGGCUUCUUCCCUGCUCUCUCUCUCAGGUCACCCACUCUGGGAAGCUGGUGGCUGCACUGUAAGGACACUCAAGCAACCCUCUGGAGAGGUCCACAUGGUGAGGACCAGUCCCUGUCAACGUCCAGCCCUGACUCGAUGGCACGUGAGCAGCCCCCUCGGAGGCAGAUCCCGCAGCCCUGGUCGAGCCUGCAGAUGACUGCAGCCCAGCCAACACCUUGACUGCAGCCCAGACUAGAACCACUGAAGAACCAGCUAGCACAAUUCCAAAUUCCUGACCCCCAGAAGCCAUGUGAAAUAAUCAAUGUUUAUUGCUUUGAGUUGCCAUGUUAGAGGGGAAGAGAUAACGA
ensembl:lncRNA novel transcript, antisense to CBX7